CGCGGGGUGGAGCAGCCCGGUAGCUCGUCAGGCUCAUAACCUGAAGGUCGUAGGUUCAAAUCCUUGGCGUGCGG
rnacentral:tRNA from 1 species